CCACAGCCCACCCGGGCUCCACCUGGACCCUGCAGAUAUAGACGAGCGAUGUUGAGUUUACAGAGGCUUUCAAGAGAAAUUAGAAGGGGACUGACGGGUCUGUAGGAAGCAGAAUGGAGCUUAAGAAGCAGCCACUGUGACCGAAACAGAACAAAUAUAUAUGACAAUCGCAGACAUUAUAUAAUAUUAAGUGAAUAUAACAUCUCAAAUGCAAAG